rnacentral:rRNA from 1 species
AGAGUUUGAUCCUGGCUCAGGACGAACGCUGGCGGCGUGCCUAAAACAUGCAAGUCGAACGAGGUAGCAAUACCUAGUGGCGAACGGCGGAGUAAUACGUGAACAACGUGCCCUAAAGACUGGGAUAUACGGCCGAAAGGCCGGGCAAUACCGGAUGUGGUGGAGACCUGGCAUCAGGAUUCCAUUAAAUGGUUUUUCGCUUUAGGAGCGGUUCACGGCCUAUCAGCUAGCUUGGUGGGGUAACGGCCUACCAAGGCUACGACGGGUAGGGGGUCUGAGAGGAUGACCCCCUCGAGUGGGACUGAGACACGGCCCACACACCUACGGGUGGCAGCAGUUGGGAAUCUUGCACAAUGGGGGAAACCCUGAUGCNAGCGACGCCGCGUGGAGGACGAAGGGUCUAGGCCUGUAAACUCCUUUUCUCGGGAAAGACUUACGGACCGGUACCCGAGGAAUAAGCACCGGCUAACUACGUGCCAGCAGCCGCGGUAAGACGUACNNGGUGCAAGCGUUGUCCGGAUUUACUGGGCGUCANA